GCGUUCGUGAAAAGGAGAGAUGGUUGGCAUCUCCCCUGACAGGGAUGGGAACAGCCUUCGGGCUUUCCUGUUACACAUCUCGGUUAAGGCUAUCCACCACUUUGAGGUUGGAUCUAACCCAAUUUUUUUU
rnacentral:ncRNA from 2 species